rnacentral:rRNA from 1 species
GAUGAACGCUGGCUGUGUGCCUAAUACAUGCAUGUCGAGCGAAGUGAUUUAUCACUUAGCGGCGAAUGGGUGAGUAACACGUACUCAACGUACCCUUCAGUUUGGCAUAGCGGUUGGAAACAACCGAUAAUUCCAAAUACUCGUAGAUGCCGCAUGGCAUUUACGGAAAAGACGCCUUAAAGCGUCGCUGGAGGAGCGGGGUGCGCAACAUUAGCUAGUUGGUGAGGUAACGGCUCACCAAGUCAUUGACGCGUAGCUGUACUGAGAGGUAGAACAGCCACAAUGGGACUGAGACACGGCCCAU